rnacentral:misc_RNA from 1 species
UCCGAGUUGACCCCGGCAGUCUCGCAUGAGUCCCCGGCCUAACCGCUGGCAACAUGCGACGGGGGUUGCGCUCGUUGCGGGACUUAACCCAACAUCUCACGACACGAGCUGACGACAGCCAUGCACCACCUGUGAUCGUGUCCCGAAGGAAAGGUGUGUUUCCACACCGGUCACGAACAUGUCAAGCCCAGGUAAGGUUCUUCGCGUUGCAUCGAAUUAAGCCACAUACUCCACCGCUUGUGCAGGCCCCCGUCAAUUUCUUUGAGUUUUAAUCUUGCGACCGUACUUCCCAGGCGGCGUAUUUAACGCGUUGGCUACGCCACAAAAGGGGUCGAUUCCUUUUACAGCAAAUACGCACCGUUUACGGCUAGGACUAC